AUUUGCUACUGUGGAAAAGAUGGCAUCAUUCCUGAAGGGAACACAGAGAAUCGGGUGGCACGAAGACAAAAGCCCUCUGGAUUGCUGCAAGAAGUGUCCUCAGGUUCAUUGUUGUAUGAGGAAAAGAACAGCUCCCCUAAAGAUCAAAAACACAGAAAUUGUGUGGAAUCACAGAGAAGGGAAAGGCUGAGAGAAUCGGAGGAGAAGCUGCAGUAACACAACUGCCACAAAUUCAAGCAAAAGCAUCAAAACCUGAUAACGAG
rnacentral:lncRNA from 13 species